UACGGAGGGUGCAAGCGUUAUCCGGAUUUACUGGGUUUAAAGGGUGCGUAGGCGGUUCGGUAAGUCGGGUGUGAAACCUCCAGGCUCAACCUGGAGAGGCCACCUGAUACUGCUGUGACUCGAGUCCGGUAGGGGAGCGUGGAAUUCCUGGUGUAGCGGUGAAAUGCGCAGAUAUCAGGAGGAACACCGGUGGCGAAGGCGGGUCUCUGGGCCGAUACUGACGCUGAGGAGCGAAAGCGUGGGGAGCAAACGGG
rnacentral:rRNA from 1 species